rnacentral:rRNA from 1 species
UACGGAGGGUGCAAGCGUUGUUCGGAAUUACUGGGCGUAAAGCGCGUGCAGGCGGCUGGGUAAGUCAGAUGUGAAAGCCUUCCGCUCAACGGAAGAAGGGCAUUUGAAACUACCCAGCUAGAGUACGGGAGAGGAGAGUGGAAUUCCCGGUGUAGAGGUGAAAUUCGUAGAUAUCGGGAGGAACACCAGUGGCGAAGGCGGCUCUCUGGUCCGAUACUGACGCUGAGACGCGAAAGCGUGGGGAGCAAACAGG